CGCGUAGGCGGCGUCGCAAGUCUCUAGUGAAAUCUCCGGGCUCAACUCGGAGCCUGCUGGGGAAACUGCGGUGCUGGAGUGUGGGAGAGGUGCGUGGAAUUCCCGGUGUAGCGGUGAAAUGCGUAGAGAUCGGAAGGAACGCCAGUGGUGAAGACGACUACCUGGACCAAUACUGACACUGAGGCGCGAAAGCGUGGGGAUCAAACA
rnacentral:rRNA from 1 species